rnacentral:misc_RNA from 1 species
GCCCCAGGAAACUCCUCAAACAGUCGGUGAACAGCUUCCAAAGAUCUAAUUUCCCCAAGACGGUCUCUUGCUCCAAGCAAGAAUCCAUAAAUGGCAGAUAUAACAGUGUAGAAGAUAUGAAUAUCCAAAAGAUAGAUACAGAUAACUGGAGCCCAUAAACUUGCAACUGUCAAGGCAUUAUGAUUAUUUUUAGAUACAAGAUCAUGCCACGAAUACACUAGAUUAUCCGUCAUCCCCACAAUAAUCUGUGUUGGUUCCACCAAUGGCUUGAUCAGGAGAAAGUAUGCAAAUGCGAACUUAGCACUCAAAACAAUAAGCCAGAACAACAUAUACUUCAAAAAAUCACUGGUCCUUUCAUACAUGCCACGCCCAACAUAGUACCGUUCCUGACGCAUCCACUUUAAGAAGCGAAUU